CCUAAUUAAGAGCUGCCACCAGUGGGGAAGGAUCUCUUCUGGAGUUUUGUAAGUAAGCCCAGGAUAGAGACAUUCACUCUGCAAGGAGGCAGUAACAGCAGGCUUGAUUUGAAGCGUGCAUCAGUGCUCAGCUCUGCCAGGAUUACCAUUAUCAUGGAAAAAAAUUGAGAUUUUCUCCCAGCAUUUGCAUACUGUUAAGAGGUACACUUGACUUCUAUCACUUAGAAAUCAAAGAGAGAUUGAAGAGCACAUACAAAUGCUGAGCCUGGUUGAAAGAGGAUGAAAGACAGACUGAAAGAAUCCUUUAUUGUAGGCAUGAGACAAGCAUCCCAGGCUGAGGAAUCCUGCAGUUCUGAUAGAAGCAGUGUGUAAGAACAGAGAAUGAACCAGAAGUCUAUAAGAACCUCCACUUUAUUUUCAGAUCUAGAAAGCUAUUAGCAGGGAUGAUGGCAGCAAGUUCCAGCCAAAAGAAACAAUGGAAGUGUCCUGUGACCUCCUCCAGCAACAGCCACAAGCACACAGUACCUGAAGGGACUGUAGAUGCAUCCAAGGAAGGUUUGGAACAACUAAUUCCACUGCAGAAUGACAGGACCAAGCUACCACAGGACCAGGGCACAGACUGAAGAGAGUAAAAACAAUUGGGAGUCCCAGCCGACAAGUAUAAAUUGUCAGGUUGCCUCCCUCUGAGCUGAAUUUUCAGAUCAAACAUCUUCAGAGGAAAAUAAAUGUUUUCUAGUCUGGCCGGCAGAACUCACACAGAGCUCUCAAGUUCUGCAGUGACAGAUGGCCCAUUUCACAGCUUCCAAUGGGACACAGAGAUAAAACGCAACCAAAUUCCCAUAAGAUUCAGUUUACCACAAAGGAAACUGCAGUCAGUAACUUGUAAAGCACCCAACAGAGCGUACAGUCCAUACACAUGGUUAAGAUACACACCUGGCAUCUAACCAGGACAGACAAGCUCAGCUCUCCAAACAGUCUCCACACAAACUCCUGCCAACAUACGGUGCUGCCCAGAACAU